rnacentral:rRNA from 1 species
GGCUACUUGGAUUAAUACUCUAGGAUAGUGGACGUUACUCGCAGAAUAAGCACCGGCUAACUCUGUGCCAGCAGCCGCGGUAAUACAGAGGGUGCGAGCGUUAAUCGGAUUUACUGGGCGUAAAGCGUGCGUAGGCGGCUUCUUAAGUCGGAUGUGAAAUCCCUGAGCUUAACUUAGGAAUUGCAUUCGAUACUGGGAAGCUAGAGUAUGGGAGAGGAUGGUAGAAUUCCAGGUGUAGCGGUGAAAUGCGUAGAGAUCUGGAGGAAUACCGAUGGCGAAGGCAGCCAUCUGGCCUAAUACUGACGCUGAGGUACGAAAGCAUGGGGAGCAAACAGGAUUAGAUACCCUGGUAGUCCAUGCCGUAAACGAUGUCUACUAGCCGUUGGGGCCUUUGAGGCUUUAGUGGCGCAGCUAACGCGAUAAGUAGACCGCCUGGGGAGUACGGUCGCAAGACUAAAACUCAAAUGAAUUGACGGGGGCCCGCACAAGCGGUGGAGCAUGUGGUUUAAUUCGAUGCAACGCGAAGAACCUUACCUGG